GGACGCCUAGCUCAGUUGGUUAGAGCAUCUCGUUUACACCGAGAGGGUCAGGGGUUCGAAUCCCUUGGCGUCCACCA
rnacentral:tRNA from 1 species